UUUUGUAAUCCUUCUGGCUGUCAGUUUACCACUCUCACAGGGAGAUGUAUGUGGAUACGGAUGCUCUCAGCGCUACUCAACGUCGUGUGGAUUUCUUGGCUGGGAUCGCUGUACCAGACACAGGGUUGCACCCUGUAAGCGCCGUGGACGGCUCCUACUAGACUGCGCAUGUAUGUUUCUCUGCGAGUCGCUCCCAUUUUCCACCGGUGGAAAAUGAGUGCGCCCUCUUGUGACUCAACAGUACAGUGACCGCGCUCCACGAAACUUGCAGCCAAUCAGUGAUAAGGCAAGGGAAAGGUCGAACAAUCCAAUCACAUUUUAAAAAGGGGGCGGGGUUUUAGGACAACUAAUUAGUGUAAGUGAGAUAGUGUGAGUAAUGCUAAUCAGCACUAAGGGAGAUUGGAAUCAGCACUGUCGCCACUGACAGACCGGUGCUGAUUGGCCAGGGGGAUGCAUCGGUAAAACCGCUCGGAUGACAAAGGUCUGUAACAAUACGUUAUAUUUUGGGGUUGCCUUUGCA